rnacentral:lncRNA from 1 species
UGCCCCGUAAUCCACCAAAAAAAUAGAAAAAAACUCUCUUGUGCUCUAAUAUCUUCCUUUAGAAAGUUAAUUCCAGUAAUUAACUAUCUAAAUACAGUCUCUUAUAUGAGUGACAAGUAGUCAGCCAUGGUUCCUUCAGGUAUCAUGCACAAAUGAUUAAUUAAAUCUCAAUCAGCUUUUAGUUUUCCAUCAUUUAGUACAGUUGAUUGAUGAUGGAUUAAUUUCUGGAUGUAAAUGUCCUUUAUUUUUAUUUUUAUUUUUUUGAUGAAGA